rnacentral:pre_miRNA from 10 species
UGUGUUCUAUCCUUCAUUCCACCGGAGUCUGUAUCCAUGGUAACCAGAUUUCAGUGGUGUGAAGAGUAAGAGGCAUGG